rnacentral:rRNA from 1 species
AUUGAACGCUGGCGGCCGGCCUAACACAUGCCAGUCGAACGAGUGGCGGACGGGUGAGUAAUGUCUGGGAAACUGCCUGAUGGAGGGGGAUAACUACUGGAAACGGUAGCUAAUACCGCAUACCAUCGGAUGUGCCCAGGUGGGAUUAGAUAGUAGGUGGGGUAACGGCUCACCUAGGCGACGAUCCCUAGCUGGUCUGAGAGGAUGAACAGCCACACUGGAACUGAGACACGGUCCAGACUCCUGAGGGAGGCAGCAGGGGAGAAUAUUGAACGAUGGGCGCAAGCCUGAGGCAGCAAUGCCGCGUGUAUGAAGAAGUCCUUCGGGUUGUAAAUUACUUUCAGCGGGGAGGCGUUACCCGCAGAAGAAGCACCGGCUUACUCCGUGCCAGCAGCCGCGGUAAUUC